rnacentral:rRNA from 1 species
ACGGAGGGUGCAAGCGUUGUUCGGAAUUACUGGGCGUAAAGGGCGCGUAGGCGGUUUGAUAAGUCAGAUGUGAAAGCCCACGGCUUAACCGUGGAAGUGCAUUUGAUACUGUCAGACUUGGGUACCAGAGGGGAAAGUGGAAUUCCCGGUGUAGAGGUGAAAUUCGUAGAUAUCGGGAGGAAUACCGGUGGCGAAGGCGACUUUCUGGUUGGAUACUGACGCUGAAGCGCGAAAGCGUGGGGAGCAAACAG